UUUGUGAAACACCAACUCAGUAAACAAAAGAGCUCUAAUCUAACAUGAUGAGACUUUGUCUUCAUCAGUAAAUCAAUAGAAGCUGCCUGUGUAGCACUGAGGCUUGCACUUUGCCGCCGCCUUGAGCAGCUCGGGUAGCCGAAGCAAUCUACUCCUGUGGCCUUCAUGAUCUACUGGCUUGGCUGCUGAUCAUAGUUGAUUUUAAUUUUUUUUUUUUUUAAAUUGUCAUAAGUGAUUGCAACUGCAGCAAAUUCGAAAUUAUAAGAGAACAUUGAAUCUGCAUAAGUAGAUUGCACUGGUGGAUUCCUUAAUUGCCUUUUACAGGCAUGAGCUGUUGGUAUUCUUGCUAAGAUGCCUAUGUGGAAAUCUUCUCUUGAAUACUGUUGCGAACCUACUCUAUUGUACCAGUUCAAUCACCCACAGCAUCAAAUAUUCAACCAUUAAGUAUAAACAAUCUAAACAUUCAGAACUUCAAGUAUAUAUUUCCUGGUAAAGUCAGAUUUACAUUCCUGUAUGGACACUUCUCAACACCAGAAUUCAAUUAACAAACAACAAGGAAAAUAAAUGGAACUGCUACGUUGGACUUCGAGGGCCAGCUACCUCCCCUUUACUCUAUUCUCUCUUGAUGCCCUUUUCAACAUCUGCUGCUCCCUUUUAUUCACUUCCUUCCCUAACAGAAUUCCAUUCUCAGCCACUUAUCUGUUGCCACCUGUUUAUUCUACCUUUUUGCUUCUCUUCACACUUUAGCUGCUCCCUUUAUCACAAUUGAUUCCCUAGUGCUUCUUCCUACGCCUCUUAUUAUAAACCCUCAUUUCACGUGUUGUAUCAAAUACCGACAGGGUACUAGUCAUGGAAUUGGGUCUUACCUCAACACUCAUAAAGAGCCCUGUUACUAUGAGGAUGUGAAAUUUGUUGUAAGAUUGAAGAAAGUGAUCUUGGGACAAGGAUUAAUUACUUGACAUUUGAGCACAAAACAGGGCUAAGUCAUUCAAACUAAUUAACUACUCUUCCUUGUUUUCAUCCAUGGAAAUUGUUUAUGUAGUUGUUGGAAGCACCUUUUAGACUAUUUGUUUGGUGCAACAGGCUGUCAGUUUGGUUACUUGCUUCACUACGAGGACACAUUGGAACCUUAGAGAAGCAAAUUAAGAAACUUGCUGGUAUAGGAGAUGGUUAGAAGCCCAAAGUAAAGCUGCUGAAAGGAAUCUAGAUAUUAUAGAAAUCGAUGUUCUGUAUGUUGGAGGUUGAUAAAAUCACUACAGAAGAUGAAAAAUGUUUGGAGGAUGAAGUCAAAAGCAAACAAAAGGUGUCUCAAUGAGCGGUGCAUUAAUCUCAAACGAUGUAACUGACUCAGUAAACAGGUGGUUUGUUAUGGGUUGUUAAGGCAGCUUUUGAUGUUGGCAUUUGGACGACAAGGAAGGAGAGUCACAGUAAGCCAAAUAUCCUCAGAGGACUGGUUGACUAGAACUGGUUUUCCUAAAGUGACUCUUGGGAGCUGCUGUUGGUGGUGUUGGACUCCAGUACCUCUAAAAGGAGAAAUGGCUUCAUUUUCCCUGGCUUCCCUUGGGUUCCCCUUGUCAGCUCUCAGCAGUUUUCCCUUCUGCUCUCCCUUUCUUCGCCUUUGGACCUCCUCCAGAAGCGGACUAGGAAAUUUUUUGAAUUCUCUUAUGGCUCCCAUUUAGCUGCUCUCGACAUCAUGGAUCAGUUCAAGCUUUUGCCUUUUAGUGGGACUUUUACUUAUGGUUUCUCGUGGACCAAGCUGUUUGGGCUGGAUGAUCUGCUGGUAGUUUAGUCAGGUGGGUCACGGCCACCUCGGCCUUGGGGGCCAUAAUCAUCACUUUGCUCUGUUGGAUGGGCCGUUGAAGCAGCCUGAGUCCUUUGCUGGUAGUCUUCUCUGUGUUGUUGGAAGGGUGAUGGUUGUUGGCUCCAUGGCUUCUUCUGGUUAUUGGCAUUUGGCAGCAUGUGUGUGGUUUCUCCUUGGAUUUGUGUUUAUUGUGAGGGUUCAUGUGUUUCGGCUUGAGCUUCUCUGCUGCUGAGCAGGCUGGCUGCUUUCUUAUGGAAGCCAUGACCCAUGACUUUUGUAUGGGCCUCUUUGCUGGCUGGGCAGGACUGCGUUGUUGGGCUGGUGUUUUAUUUUUGUACUUUGAUCUCUUGAGCCUUGUUUUUUUUGCUAAGGCUGGGUUUGGUUGUUCGGGCUUCUUUGUACAGAAUUGUAGAUCCUUGUCUCUUCUCGGCCUUCUUUUUUGGUUAUAAUCUUGGGCCUGUCCAAUGUGUGUAGCUUGGAGGGGAGUCCCCUCCUUUAUGCCGUUUCAUUUUUUAUUCAUUUAUAUAAUUAUCAGGUUAUAUUGGAGAAUAUGCUUAUGGUUAAAAAG